rnacentral:rRNA from 1 species
UACGAGGGGGGGCAAGCGUUGUUCGGAAUUACUGGGCGUAAAGCGUGCGCAGGCGGUUAUUUAAGUCAGGUGUGAAAGCCCUGGGCUUAACCUAGGAAUUGCGCUUGAGACUGGAUAGCUUGGAGUGCGGCAGAGGGAGGUGGAAUUCCGACGUGUAGCAGUGAAAUGCGUAGAGAUGAUGGAGGAACACCGAUGGCGAAGGCAGCCUCCUGGGCCAGCACUGACGCUCAUGCACGAAAGCGUGGGGAGCAAACAG